AGAUUUAUGAUGAGCUAUAUUUAAUGAGCAUGAUGAUGCAAAGCUCAAUGUCAGUACUCUGUAGUCC